CGUUUGAUUAUGAUUUUGAAAUCGUAUCUGACAGAAAACAAUACAUAGUAACAAAUUUGCAAAGUGUUUGUUAAAAUGUUAUAUUUUUGUUACAAAAAAUUGUAAUGAUCAAUAUAGAUAAUGGAGUUUUUUAUGAAAUAAAUCAUUUCGUAAAUUUGAUUUAGAAGAUGCUUUAAAAGAUACAUGUGUGUUGGAAAAUGAAUAUUUUCAAGGAUCUAGUUUUGCUGAAAUUUUCAAUUUUAUGUUUUUCAAGUCUUUUUUAGUACACAUCUACAAUCCUUGAAA
rnacentral:lncRNA from 1 species